AUUGAACGCUGGCGGCAGGCCUAACACAUGCAAGUCGAGCGGAGCGGCGGAAGGGUGAGUAAUGCCUAGGAAUCUGCCUGGUAGUGGGGGAUAACGGCCGGAAACGGGCGCUAAUACCGCAAACAAACAGAUGAGCCUAGGUCGGAUUAGCUAGUUGGUGGGGUAAAGGCCUACUAAGGCGACGAUCCGUCACUGGUCUGAGAGGAUGAUCAGUCACAUUGGAACUGAGAAACGGUCCAGACUCCUACGGGAGGCAGCAGUGGGGAAUAUUGGACAAUGGGCGAAAGCCUGAUCCAGCCAUGCCGCGUGUGUGAAGAAGGUCUUCGGAUUGUAAAGCACUUUAAGUUGGGAGGCGUUACCAACAGAAUAAGCACCGGCUAACUUCGUGCCAGCCGCCGCGGUAAUAC
rnacentral:rRNA from 1 species